UAGGGAAUCUUCGGCAAUGGACGAAAGUCUGACCGAGCAACGCCGCGUGAGUGAAGAAGGUUUUCGGAUCGUAAAACUCUGUUGGUAGAGAAGAACGUUGGUGAGAGUGGAAAGCUCAUCAAGUGACGGUAACUACCCAGAAAGGGACGGCUAACUACGUGCCAGCAGCCGCGGUAAUACGUAGGUCCCGAGCGUUGUCCGGAUUUAUUGGGCGUAAAGCGAGCGCAGGUGGUUUAUUAAGUCUGGUGUAAAAGGCAGUGGCUCAACCAUUGUAUGCAUUGGAAACUGGUAGACUUGAGUGCAGGAGAGGAGAGUGGAAUUCCAUGUGUAGCGGUGAAAUGCGUAGAUAUAUGGAGGAACACCGGUGGCGAAAGCGGCUCUCUGGCCUGUAACUGACACUGAGGCUCGAAAGCGUGGGGAGCAAACAGGAUUAGAUAGCCCUGGUAGUCCACC
rnacentral:rRNA from 1 species